CCUACGGGAGACAGCAGUAGGGAAUCUUCCACAAUGGGCGAAAGCCUGAUGGAGCAACGCCGCGUGGGUGAAGAAGGUCUUCGGGUCGUAAAAUCCUGUUGGUGGAGAGGAAAGGGCGUGAGAGUAUACGUUCGCGUAUCGACGUUAUCUGACCAGAAAGCCACGGCUAACUACGUGCCAGCAGCCGCGGUAAUACGUAGGUGGCAAGCGUUAUCCGGAUUUAUUGGGCGUAAAGCGCACGCAGGCGGUUUGUUAAGUCUGAUGUGAAAUCCUUGGGCUUAACCGGAGAAGUGCAUGUGAAACUGGGAGACUUGAGUGCAGAAGAGGAGAGUGGAACUCCAGGUGUAGCGGUGAAAUGCGUAGAGAUAUGGAAGAACACCAGUGGCGAAAGCGGCUCUCUGGUCUGUAACUGACGCUGAGGUGCGAAAGCGUGGGGAGCAAACAGGAUUAGAUACCCGAGUAGUC
rnacentral:rRNA from 1 species